ensembl:snRNA U6 U6 spliceosomal RNA
GUGCUCGCUUUGGCAGCACAUAUACUAAAAUUAGAACGACACAGAGAUUAGCAUGGCCCCCGCGCAAGGAUGACACACAAAUUCACGAAGGAUUCCAUAUUUUU